GUCUAUGAUGAUUUAUCCUAUUGUUUGAGAUGUAGAUUCCCUCGAGCCCUGAUUAUCAGGGAACAUACUUGGGGUGCUUCAUCUUUCAUGAAACUACUGGAUCUUCUUGAGAC